CUUUCAUGUAAUGACCGUGAAAUCCCUUCCAUAAGAACAUAGAGGUUUUGUUCUGUUCUGUUUCUAAUUUCAGAACAAUAAGUCUCCAAUGCACCACCACCCACCGGAAAAAGAGCACACAGUGACUGACAAGAUAACACUAAUGGUAAACGAGGCCCAUGAAUUAUGUUACUUCAGUGUUACUGGAGGACAUGGAGCUGGGAGAAUCACUAUAGCUUAGGUAAGCUAAUUGAAGACUGUGUCCUUUAUCAUGUCCUGAGGAGUGUGUUUUCCUAAGCAGGGGGAGAAGAAUUUUCUCCAGGUUUCCUUUCUUUUCAAGUUCACCCUGAAGACAGGUUUCUUAACUUGGAAAAAGGACUAUGUAA
rnacentral:lncRNA from 1 species